AUUGCCUCAGUAACGGCGAGUGAAGCGGCAACAGCUCAAAUUUGAAAUCUGGCGUCCUCCGGGCGUCCGAGUUGUAAUUUGAAGAGGGUGCUUUGGCGUCGGCGGCGGUCUAAGUCCCUUGGAACAGGGCAUCGCAGAGGGUGACAAUCCCGUACGUGACCGCGAGCCUUCGCCGUGUAAAGCCCCUUCGACGAGUCGAGUUGUUUGGGAAUGCAGCUCUAAAUGGGAGGUAAAUAUCUUCUAAAGCUAAAUACCGGCCAGAGACCGAUAGCGCACAAGUAGAGUGAUCGAAAGAUGAAAAGCACUUUGGAAAGAGAGUCAAAAAGCACGUGAAAUUGUUGAAAGGGAAGCGCUUGCAGCCAGACUUGCCCGCAGUUGCUCAUCCAGGCUCUCGCCUGGUGCACUCUUCUGCGGGCAGGCCAGCAUCAGUUUGGGCGGCCGGAUAAAGACCUCUGUCACGUAUCUGCCUUCGGGUUGACCUUAUAGGGGAGGUGCAAUGCGGCCAGCCCGGACUGAGGUCCGCGCAUCUGCUAGGAUGCUGGCGUAAUGGCUGUAAGCGGCCCGUCUUGAAACACGGACCAAGGAGUCUAACAUCUAUGCGAGUGUUUGGGUGUCAAGCCCGGGCGCGCAAUGAAAGUGAACGGAGGUGGGAACCCUCUCGGGGGCGCACCAUCGACCGAUCCUGAUGUCUUCGGAUGGAUUUGAGUAAGAGCAUAGCUGUUGGGACCCGAAAGAUGGUGAACUAUGCUUGAAUAGGGUGAAGCCAGAGGAAACUCUGGUGGAGGCUCGCAGCGGUUCUGACGUGCAAAUCGAUCGUCAAAUUUGGGCAUAGGGGCGAAAGACUAAUCGAC
rnacentral:rRNA from 1 species